rnacentral:rRNA from 1 species
UACGUAGGGUGCGAGCGUUAAUCGGAAUUACUGGGCGUAAAGAGUGCGUAGGCGGUUUCUCAAGUCCGCUGUGAAAUCCCCGGGCUCAACCUGGGAAUGGCAGUGGAAACUAGGAGACUUGAAUCUGGCAGAGGGGGGUGGAAUUCCACGUGUAGCAGUGAAAUGCGUAGAGAUGUGGAGGAACACCGAUGGCGAAGGCAGUGUCCUGGGGAGUACCUGACGCUCAGGUGCGAAAGCCAGGGGAGCGAACGGG